rnacentral:rRNA from 1 species
GCUGGCGGCGUGCUUUAUGCAUGCAAGUCGAACGAGUCACUUCGGUGGCUAGUGGCGAAUGGGUGAGUAACACGUAAGCAACCUGCCCCUAAGUAUGGAAUAACUUGGAGAAAUCCGAGCUAAUACCGUAUGUGAUGGUGAGGGUAAUGCCUCAUCAUUAAAGCCUUCGGGCGCUUGGGGAGGGGCUUGCGUCCGAUUAGCUAGUUGGUGAGGUAACGGCCUACCAAGGCUAAGAUCGGUAGCUGGUUUGAGAGGACGACCAGCCACACUGGGACUGAGACACGGCCCAGACUCCUACGGGAGGCAGCAGCAAGGAAUAUUGGGCAAUGGGCGAAAGCCUGACCCAGCGACGCCGCGUGGAGGAAGAAGGCCCUCGGGUCGUAAACUCCUUUUCUCAGGGAAGAAUAAUGACGGUACCUGAGGAAUAAGCCCCGGCUAACUACGUGCCAGCAGCCGCGGUAAUACGUAGGGGGCGAGCGUUAUCCGGAUUUACUGGGCGUAAAGAGGGCGUAGGCGGCUCUUCAAGUCGGAUGUGAAAUCUCCCGGCUUAACUGGGAGGGGCCAUUCGAUACUGUUGGGCUUGAGUACAGCAGAGGGAGGUGGAAUUCCCGGUGUAGUGGUGAAAUGCGUAGAUAUCGGGAGGAACACCAGUGGCGAAGGCGGCCUCCUGGGCUGCAACUGACGCUGAGGCCCGAAGGCGUGGGUAGCAAACAGGAUUAGAUACCCUGGUAGUCCACGCAGUAAACGAUGGAUACUAGGUAUGGGGGGUAUCGACCCCCUCCGUGCCGAAGCUAACGCUUUAAGUAUCCCGCCUGGGGACUACGGUCGCAAGACUAAAACUCAAAGGAAUUGA